rnacentral:rRNA from 1 species
AUGAAAAUGUUAAGUUGGAACUGUCGAGGCUUGGGUCAGCCUUGUACAGUUCAAGAGUUGGUGUGCCUCGAUAAUAUGUACAGACCCAAUGUUAUCUUCCUUUCAGAAACAAGAAAAAAUAAAGAGUAUGUUGAGUGCUCGCGCCACCGCUUGGGUAUGAGGAAUGUUUUCACUGUAUCUGUUCCAGGUAAAGAUGGGGGUCUUGUGUUAUGGGAUGAGCUUUUCUCAUUAGAAUUAAAUAAUUUUGGAGAUCACUUCAUUGACAUGUAUAUUCGUAAUGAAGAUGGUUCUUCCUGGAGGUGCGCCUUUAUUUAUGGGGAGUCAAAAGCGAGUCAAAGGUACGUUAUGUGGGAUCUCUUCAGGCGUGUGAAACAUCUUGGGGGUGAGUCCUUGGUCUUUGGUAGGUGA